GACGAACGCUGGCGGCGUGCUUAACACAUGCAAGUCGAACGGAAAGGCCCUGCUUUUGUGGGGUGCUCGAGUGGCGAACGGGUGAGUAACACGUGAGUAACCUGCCCUUGACUUUGGGAUAACUUCAGGAAACUGGGGCUAAUACCGGAUAGGAGCUCCUGCUGCAUGGUGGGGGUUGGAAAGGUUCGGCGGGUGGGGAUGGACUCGCGGCUUAUCAGCUUGGUGGUGGGGUAGUGGCUUACCAAGGCUUUGACGGGUAGCCGGCCUGAGAGGGUGACCGGCCACCUUGGGACUUGGACACCGCCCAGACUCCUUCGGGAGGGAGCAGGGGGGAAUUUUGCACAAUGGGCGGAAGCCUGAUGCAGCCACGCCGCGUGCCGGAUGACCGCCUUCGGGUUGGAAACCGCUUUCGCCUGUGACGAAGCGUGAGUUACGGUAAUGGGUAAAGAAGCACCGGCUAACUACGUG
rnacentral:rRNA from 1 species